rnacentral:rRNA from 1 species
GGGUUGUGAGGUUAAGCGACUAAGCGUACACGGUGGAUGCCCUGGCAGUCAGAGGCGAUGAAGGACGUGCUAAUCUGCGAUAAGCGUCGGUAAGGUGAUAUGAACCGUUAUAACCGGCGAUUUCCGAAUGGGGAAACCCAGUGUGUUUCGACACACUAUCAUUAACUGAAUCCAUAGGUUAAUGAGGCGAACCGGGGGAACUGAAACAUCUAAGUACCCCGAGGAAAAGAAAUCAACCGAGAUUCCCCCAGUAGCGGCGAGCGAACGGGGAGCAGCCCAGAGCCUGAAUCAGUGUGUGUGUUAGUGGAAGCGUCUGGAAAGGCGCGCGAUACAGGGUGACAGCCCCGUACACAAAAAUGCACAUACUGUGAGCUCGAUGAGUAGGGCGGGACACGUGGUAUCCUGUCUGAAUAUGGGGGGACCAUCCUCCAAGGCUAAAUACUCCUGACUGACCGAUAGUGAACCAGUACCGUGAGGGAAAGGCGAAAAGAACCCCGGCGAGGGGAGUGAAAAAGAACCUGAAACCGUGUACGUACAAGCAGUGGGAGCACGCUUAGGCGUGUGACUGCGUACCUUUUGUAUAAUGGGUCAGCGACUUAUAUUCUGUAGCAAGGUUAACCGAAUAGGGGAGCCGAAGGGAAACCGAGUCUUAACUGGGCGUUAAGUUGCAGGGUAUAGACCCGAAACCCGGUGAUCUAGCCAUGGGCAGGUUGAAGGUUGGGUAACACUAACUGGAGGACCGAACCGACUAAUGUUGAAAAAUUAGCGGAUGACUUGUGGCUGGGGGUGAAAGGCCAAUCAAACCGGGAGAUAGCUGGUUCUCCCCGAAAGCUAUUUAGGUAGCGCCUCGUGAAUUCAUCUCCGGGGGUAGAGCACUGUUUCGGCAAGGGGGUCAUCCCGACUUACCAACCCGAUGCAAACUGCGAAUACCGGAGAAUGUUAUCACGGGAGACACACGGCGGGUGCUAACGUCCGUCGUGAAGAGGGAAACAACCCAGACCGCCAGCUAAGGUCCCAAAGUCAUGGUUAAGUGGGAAACGAUGUGGGAAGGCCCAGACAGCCAGGAUGUUGGCUUAGAAGCAGCCAUCAUUUAAAGAAAGCGUAAUAGCUCACUGGUCGAGUCGGCCUGCGCGGAAGAUGUAACGGGGCUAAACCAUGCACCGAAGCUGCGGCAGCGACGCUGAUGCGUUGUUGGGUAGGGGAGCGUUCUGUAAGCCUGCGAAGGUGUGCUGUGAGGCAUGCUGGAGGUAUCAGAAGUGCGAAUGCUGACAUAAGUAACGAUAAAGCGGGUGAAAAGCCCGCUCGCCGGAAGACCAAGGGUUCCUGUCCAACGUUAAUCGGGGCAGGGUGAGUCGACCCCUAAGGCGAGGCCGAAAGGCGUAGUCGAUGGGAAACAGGUUAAUAUUCCUGUACUUGGUGUUACUGCGAAGGGGGGACGGAGAAGGCUAUGUUGGCCGGGCGACGGUUGUCCCGGUUUAAGCGUGUAGGCUGGUUUUCCAGGCAAAUCCGGAAAAUCAAGGCUGAGGCGUGAUGACGAGGCACUACGGUGCUGAAGCAACAAAUGCCCUGCUUCCAGGAAAAGCCUCUAAGCAUCAGGUAACAUCAAAUCGUACCCCAAACCGACACAGGUGGUCAGGUAGAGAAUACCAAGGCGCUUGAGAGAACUCGGGUGAAGGAACUAGGCAAAAUGGUGCCGUAACUUCGGGAGAAGGCACGCUGAUAUGUAGGUGAAGUCCCUCGCGGAUGGAGCUGAAAUCAGUCGAAGAUACCAGCUGGCUGCAACUGUUUAUUAAAAACACAGCACUGUGCAAACACGAAAGUGGACGUAUACGGUGUGACGCCUGCCCGGUGCCGGAAGGUUAAUUGAUGGGGUUAGCCGCAAGGCGAAGCUCUUGAUCGAAGCCCCGGUAAACGGCGGCCGUAACUAUAACGGUCCUAAGGUAGCGAAAUUCCUUGUCGGGUAAGUUCCGACCUGCACGAAUGGCGUAAUGAUGGCCAGGCUGUCUCCACCCGAGACUCAGUGAAAUUGAACUCGCUGUGAAGAUGCAGUGUACCCGCGGCAAGACGGAAAGACCCCGUGAACCUUUACUAUAGCUUGACACUGAACAUUGAGCCUUGAUGUGUAGGAUAGGUGGGAGGCUUGGAAGUGUGGACGCCAGUCUGCAUGGAGCCGACCUUGAAAUACCACCCUUUAAUGUUUGAUGUUCUAACGUUGACCCGUAAUCCGGGUUGCGGACAGUGUCUGGUGGGUAGUUUGACUGGGGCGGUCUCCUCCUAAAGAGUAACGGAGGAGCACGAAGGUUGGCUAAUCCUGGUCGGACAUCAGGAGGUUAGUGCAAUGGCAUAAGCCAGCUUGACUGCGAGCGUGACGGCGCGAGCAGGUGCGAAAGCAGGUCAUAGUGAUCCGGUGGUUCUGAAUGGAAGGGCCAUCGCUCAACGGAUAAAAGGUACUCCGGGGAUAACAGGCUGAUACCGCCCAAGAGUUCAUAUCGACGGCGGUGUUUGGCACCUCGAUGUCGGCUCAUCACAUCCUGGGGCUGAAGUAGGUCCCAAGGGUAUGGCUGUUCGCCAUUUAAAGUGGUACGCGAGCUGGGUUUAGAACGUCGUGAGACAGUUCGGUCCCUAUCUGCCGUGGGCGCUGGAGAACUGAGGGGGGCUGCUCCUAGUACGAGAGGACCGGAGUGGACGCAUCACUGGUGUUCGGGUUGUCAUGCCAAUGGCACUGCCCGGUAGCUAAAUGCGGAAGAGAUAAGUGCUGAAAGCAUCUAAGCACGAAACUUGCCCCGAGAUGAGUUCUCCCUGACUCCUUGAGAGUCCUGAAGGAACGUUGAAGACGACGACGUUGAUAGGCCGGGUGUGUAAGCGCAGCGAUGCGUUGAGCUAACCGGUACUAAUGAACCGUGAGGCUUAACCUUACAACGCCGAAGGUGUUU